CCUACGGGGUGCAGCAGUGAGGAAUAUUGGUCAAUGGGCGGGAGCCUGAACCAGCCAAGUCGCGUGAGGGAAGACGGUCCUAUGGAUUGUAAACCUCUUUAGGCGGGGAGCAAUGCCGGGCACGCGUGCCCGGAGGGAGAGUACCCGCAGAAUAAGCAUCGGCUAACUCCGUGCCAGCAGCCGCGGUAAUACGGAGGAUGCGAGCGUUAUCCGGAGUUAUUGGGUUUAAAGGGUGCGUAGGCGGGUUUUUAAGUCAGCGGUAAAAGGUCCGGGAUCAACCCGGGGCGGCCGUGGAAACUGGAGAUCUUGAGUGGGCGAGAGGUAUGCGGAAUGCGUGGUGUAGCGGUGAAAUGCGUAGAUAUCACGCAGAACUCCGAUUGCGAAGGCAGCAUACCGGCGCCCGACUGACGCUGAGGCACGAAAGCGUGGGGAUCGAACAGGAUUAGAUACCCCGGUAGUC
rnacentral:rRNA from 1 species